GAUGAUCUGCUGUUGAACACCCACAGAAAGACCUGCAGGAGAUUCAUAAAUCCUCUCUUACUACAUACUGCUGUACGAAUACAGACAUGUUUAUGUUAGUGAGAUCAUUUUAUCAUUGUAUCUUUCUUCAGAAGUAUACUUUGCCAUAUUUAAAGUCUUAUUACAAGAUUUGAAUGUGAUUAUCAUGUUUAUUGGUUUCUUUGCAUUCCACUUUAACAUAAAUAAACCUUUUUUUCUUAUUGUCAACAACGGCCAAAACCAACAAUACAUUAGUCUGUCUCUCAACCCUUCUGUUUCUUUACCCGGUCUAUGGCACUGAGCCCCAAGCCCUACUGGUUCCUACACAAUAUGGAAAUCUUUAUAUUUUCUCCUCAUACUCUCAUUGGGAAAAAAGGCUCAAUCAUUUCCUAGAACAGGUGUGUACUGUAGUUUUCAGCAAAUGCUUGUCAAAUAGAAGUAAAUAUUGAACGUUGGGGACAAUUUUCAGCUGUAGAUUAAUACACAUGUGGUACACUGUUAGUAGUUACAGCAGCAGUAUGGAGUGUGUGAGUCAAAGUGAACAGCUUUCAUCUUAAAGGGGAGCUCCACCCACUUCACACCUCAAAGUCUGUUUACAGGCCUUAGUGAUACUGCAUAUGUGGGGGAAAAGUUGUAUACAGCCUUUUGUGACUAUACAGGGAGCUGCACACAGUCUGAUAAAUUGCCUCAAGUGAUGUCACUCGAGUCGGAAGAAGUGAGUUUACCAGACCUGUAGCACAUUCCUCACAUCUGCUCAAGGCUACAUUUGCUGCUACUAGCAUAACACACCACAAUCUUUGAUCAUGCUGCUCUAGGUUUUGAUGAGGAAGAAGAAUAUUGGGAAUUAAAAAAGAUCUCCGGUCCUGAUUUCCAUACUAAAAAAAAAAAAAUCAGUGCAUUACUCUUAUAAUAAAGUCACCCAGUGCAAUUGUCUCUCAUGUGUUUUUAAUACUUUUUAGAGCUCUAUGGCACAGAGGAAUAAUAUAUUGUAGGCUCGGAUUCACACACAAAUAUAAUUUAUUGGGAUUUGUUGACAAAAAGAAAAAAUAUUACUAGACACAUAUCCUUAAUUGCCUUGGAAGAAGCAAGUAACAAAUCUAAACCACUACAGAAUGGUUUAAACUAUGGUGAGCAAUGCUAUGACUAUAGUAGGUGCUGUUAAUGGUUUAACAUGUAAAAACACUGGUAUGGUCCUAAUAACACUCUUGCUUUCAGUUUUCAAUGAUCAAUAAAACUGUCUGCAUCCAGUAUGUGCACUCAUGUUUCUUUACUUUUGAAUAAAUGGUUUGAGAGUG